AUUGAACGCUGGCGGCAUGCUUUACACAUGCAAGUCGAACGGUAACAGGCCGCAAGGUGCUGACGAGUGGCGAACGGGUGAGUAAUGCAUCGGAACGUGCCCAGUCGUGGGGGAUAACUGCUCGAAAGAGCAGCUAAUACCGCAUACGAUCUAUGGAUGAAAGCGGGGGACCGUAAGGCCUCGCGCGAUUGGAGCGGCCGAUGUCAGAUUAGGUAGUUGGUGGGGUAAGGGCUCACCAAGCCAACGAUCUGUAGCUGGUCUGAGAGGACGACCAGCCACACUGGGACUGAGACACGGCCCAGACUCCUACGGGAGGCAGCAGUGGGGAAUUUUGGACAAUGGGGGCAACCCUGAUCCAGCAAUGCCGCGUGCAGGAAGAAGGCCUUCGGGUUGUAAACUGCUUUUGUACGGAACGAAACGGUCUGGGUUAAUACCCUGGGCUAAUGACGGUACCGUAAGAAUAAGCACCGGCUAACUACGUGCCAGCAGCCGCGGUAACAC
rnacentral:rRNA from 1 species